rnacentral:snRNA from 10 species
CGAUUACCCCAAAUGUGGGAACUCGGUCGUAUAAUUUCUGGUAGUGGGACUGCGUUCGCGCUAUCCCCG